GAACGCAUAUUGCGCUCUUUGGUAUUCCGAAGAGCAUGCUUGUUUGAGUAUCAGUAAACACCUCAACCUCUCUUUUUUGAUAAAAAAAAGGGAGGGUGGACUUGAGCUAUCCCAACGACCUUCACCGGUAGGCGGGCGGCUUGAAAUGCAGGUGCAGCUGGACUUUUAUCUGAGCUAUAAGCAUAUCUAUUUAGUCUGCCUAAAAAACAGAUUAUUACCUUUGCUGCAGCUAACAUAAAGGAGAGUAGUUCUUGUGCUGACUGAUGCAGGAUUCACAAAGACAGCUUCGGCCGACUUUGUAAACUCGAUCUCAAAUCAAGUAAGACUACCCGCUGAACUUAAG
rnacentral:misc_RNA from 1 species